CCGAUNGCGAGAUAGCCAGCAUGUCUAGUAUAAGCAACUAUACGGUGAAACUGCGAAUGGCUCAUUAAAUCAGUUAUCGUUUAUUUGAUAGUACCUUACUACAUGGAUAACCGUGGUAAUUCUAGAGCUAAUACAUGCUAAAAACCUCGACUUCGGAAGGGGUGUAUUUAUUAGAUAAAAAACCAAUGCCCUUCGGGGCUCCUUGGUGAAUCAUAAUAACUUAACGAAUCGCAUGGCCUUGCGCCGGCGAUGGUUCAUUCAAAUUUCUGCCCUAUCAACUUUCGAUGGUAGGAUAGUGGCCUACCAUGGUAUCAACGGGUAACGGGGAAUUAGGGUUCGACUCCGGAGAGGGAGCCUGAGAAACGGCUACCACAUCCAAGGAAGGCAGCAGGCGCGCAAAUUACCCAAUCCCGACACGGGGAGGUAGUGACAAUAAAUACUGAUACAGGGCUCUUUUGGGUCUUGUAAUUGGAAUGAGUACAAUUUAAAUCCCUUAACGAGGAACAAUUGGAGGGCAAGUCUGGUGCCAGCAGCCGCGGUAAUUCCAGCUCCAAUAGCGUAUAUUAAAGUUGUUGCAGUUAAAAAGCUCGUAGUUGAACCUUGGGCCUGGCUGGCCGGUCCGCCUCACCGCGUGUACUGGUCCGGCCGGGCCUUUCCUUCUGGGGAACCUCAUGCCCUUCACUGGGCGUGUUGGGGAACCAGGACUUUUACUUUGAAAAAAUUAGAGUGUUCAAAGCAGGCCUUUGCUCGAAUACUUUAGCAUGGAAUAAUGGAAUAGGACGUGUGGUUCUAUUUUGUUGGUUUCUAGGACCGCCGUAAUGAUUAAUAGGGAUAGUCGGGGGCAUCAGUAUUCCAUCGUCAGAGGUGAAAUUCUUGGAUUGAUUGAAGACUAACUACUGCGAACAUUUUUCCCAAGAAAGNUUUUGCCANGA
rnacentral:rRNA from 1 species